rnacentral:rRNA from 1 species
UACGUAGGGGGCAAGCGUUGUCCGGAUUUACUGGGUGUAAAGGGAGCGUAGACGGAAUUGCAAGUCUGAUGUGAAAAUCCGGGGCCCGACCCCGGAACUGCAUUGGAAACUGUAUUUCUAGAGUGUCGGAGAGGCAAGUGGAAUUCCUGGUGUAGCGGUGAAAUGCGUAGAUAUCAGGAGGAACACCAGUGGCGAAGGCGGCUUGCUGGACGAUGACUGACGUUGAGGCUCGAAAGCGUGGGGAGCAAACAGG